rnacentral:rRNA from 1 species
AGUGAACGCUGGCGGUAUGCCUAACACAUGCAAGUCGAACGGCACCACCGUAAGAGCUUGCUCUCACGGGCGUCGAGCGGCGGACGGGUCACGAAUACACCGGAUUCCACCUUUUCGUGGGGGAUAACGCCGGGAAACUUACUCUAAUACCGCAUACGUCCCAUGGGUGUAAGCAGGGGAUCUUCUGACCUUUCGCGAUUGAAUGAGCCGAUGUCGGAUUCGCUCGUUGGCGGGGUAAAGGCCCACCACGGCGACGAUCCGUCGCGGGUCUGACCGGAUGUUCCGACAGACUGGAAGUGAGACUGGGUCCAGACACCUACGGGAAGCAGCAGUGGGGAAUAUUGGGCGAUGGAGGAGAGGCGGAUCCAGCCAUACCGCGUGGGUGAAGAAGGCGUUCGGGUGGUAGAGCGCUUUUGUUGGGAGAGAAAAGCAGCAGGUUAAUACGCCACUGUUCUGACGGUACCCGAAGAAUAAGCACCGGCUAACUUCGUG